CACCACUGUCACACACCUGAAGUUUACAGGAUAAGAUUGUAUGAACUGAGAAUCCAUCCUUGUAUCUACUCACCACUCUCACACACCUGAAGUUUACAGGAUAAGACCAGAGGUGAUGGGCAAGCCAGGACAUGACUUCCUGUUAUUAAUCUUUAGUCAGGAAUCCUUAAUAACCAUUCUCACUCUUAUGCAGGCAGCAACAAUCCUCUUCCUGUUAUUUACAGUGGGCUGCAGACAGAACAAAAUACUUUUGUAUUUAAAAGAGAGAGAAAAUCCAAACAUUUCCAAUUUAUUAGAAAAUGAUCAGAAAGCCCUCUUUUAUAAUACACAUUCUUCACCUCUAAGACCAAGGGAGUGCAAUCAUCUUCCACUUGUUGGAGAGAAGAGGCCAUUUGUUCUUCCAGUCAUGCUUGUCUCAAGGGCCAUCCAAAUGCAAUUUCACAGAAGGGCGCAAUGGAAAACUGGCAGAAGCCCAGAGGUCACACCUACUGUUUAUAACUGACAUAUCCGUGCAUGCUGGCUACUGUCUAGAUAAAAAGCACUUGUGGAAUAAGCAGCAUCUCAGCCCCAAUGGGGCCCUAUCUAAUGCCUAUAAAAAAAAUAGGAACAAGAGAUAUUGUAAACGAUUUCCCAGAAAGCCAACAAAUCCCACAUCUCUACUAGAACAGAACUGAUAGCACAUAUUUAUCCAUCCAGGCCCUUCUUCCUCUCAUCUCUAGAUAACCUGCUGCCCUCCAAAUGUUCUACUCAACUCUGAAGUCAUAUGGGUGUUUUGAGCAAUUUCCAUCAGCCCCAGCCCAGGUAGCCAGGGAUUGUAGGAAUUGUAGUCCACAUCUGAAGGGCACCAGAUUUCCCAUUCUGUCACUCGCUGCCACCACUGAGAUAUGUCUGAUUACAGAUCCCACCACCAUGGCGUGCUAACUGAGGAAAAUGGGAAAUGUAGUCCACAACGUUUUCAAGGCAUCCAGGUGUGGAAGACUUGUUGCCUAACACCAGCAUCCUCGUUGUCUGUUGCGGUCUUGCCAUGUUCUUUUCCCAGUCCUGAGGUGCUGUUGGCUUGGGAACAUGUAGAAAGGAGGCAAGAGAGGGAAAAGAUCCCUGUCUUUAUUCAACAAGGGGGGAACAAUAGUUCUGAACAGGAUCAGUGCCUUCUGAGGACACUUCCCCAUCCUGUCAUGAGUUGCAGGAGUUAGAAGCAAUAUUUCCACAAACUGCUGCCCAGACUUGGAAUAAAUUUAGUCUCCUUGUCCUGACA
rnacentral:lncRNA from 1 species